rnacentral:rRNA from 1 species
UACAGAGGAGCCAAGCGUUGUCCGGAUUGACUGGGCGUAAAGCGCACGUAGGCGGCCUUGUAAGUCGGAUGUGAAAUCCCACGGCUCAACCGUGGACGUGCAUUCGAAACUGCUCGGCUCGAGUAUGGAAGAGGGUCGCGGAAUUCCCGGUGUAGAGGUGAAAUGCGUAGAUAUUGGGAGGAACACCAGUGGCGAAGGCGACUACCUGGCCUGUUCUUGACGCUGAGACGCGAAAGCGUGGGGAGCAAACAGG